rnacentral:rRNA from 1 species
UACGUAGGGGGCGAGCGUUGCCCGGAAUUACUGGGCGUAAAGGGAACGUAGGUGGCUCUUAAAGUCAGGUGUGAAAAUAACGAAGCUUAACAGGUUAAUGCGCUUGAAACUAAAGGGCUUGAGGGCAAUAGAGGGAGAUGGAAUUACCUGUGUAGGGGUGAAAUCCGCAGAUAUAGGUAAGAAGGCCGGUGGGGAAGCCGAUCUCCUGGGUUGACUCUGACACUGAGGUUCGAAAGCUAGGGGAGCAAACCGGAUUAGAUACC